rnacentral:rRNA from 1 species
GAUGAACGCUAGCUACAGGCUUAACACAUGCAAGUCGAGGGGUAACAAGAGAAAAGCUUGCUUUUCUUGUUGACGACCGGCGCACGGGUGAGUAACGCGUAUCCAACCUGCCCAUAACUAGGGAAUAACCUUGCGAAAGUAAGACUAAUACCCUAUAAUUUCCUUUGACGGCAUCUGACGAGGAAUAAAGAUUUAUCGGUUAUGGAUGGGGAUGCGUCUGAUUAGCUUGUUGGCGGGGUAACGGCCCACCAAGGCAACGAUCAGUAGGGGUUCUGAGAGGAAGGUCUCCCACAUUGGAACUGAGACACGGUCCAAACUCCUACGGGAGGCAGCAGUGAGGAAUAUUGGUCAAUGGGCGGAAGCCUGAACCAGCCAAGUAGCGUGCAGGAUGACGGCCCUAUGGGUUGUAAACUGCUUUUAUACAGGAAUAAAGUUAGCCACGUGUGGUUAUUUGUAGGUACUGUAUGAAUAAGGACCGGCUAAUUCCGUGCCAGCCACCGCCGUAA